CUUUUGUUUCUGGUUUUGUUGUCGGAUUCACUGCUGUUUGGCACAUGGCUUUGGUUACCCUUGUUGUUCCUAUGAUUGUUGUGGUUGAAUGCAUUCAUACAACCCAUACAACUACUUUGGCCAAGCUCUCUAGUAAGAGCCAAGAACCUCUUUCUCAAGCUAGCAACAUUGUUGAACACGUACAGAAUAAGAAUAACACGUUGUUUCUCUUCAAAGUUAUUAAUUUAAUAAAGCCAUUGGGUGAUUUUGUUAGGGAAUUUUAUUGUUGAUAUUGCAGACGGUUGUGCAAAUCUGAGUCCCAAGCACUACAAGAUUACUCUGAAGUAGAACAGUAGUAAAGUGAAAGGCUUCUUGUUUAUUCUACAACAUCUAUCUGGCAUGGCUGGUAGUUGCUAGUUCUUUGUAUCAGGGAUGAUAUAGUCAAAUGAGCAGGAAAAAGAACUGGUACGCCAGUUAUUUAUUAGGAUAUAGUCUUGUCGCAACAAUUGCUUCGUCUUUGGCAUAGCUUCAGAUUCCUGCAUUUCAGCUAAUGCAUCAGCAAAAUUGAUAAGCAAACAUUCCUGAUAGAACCUGCAAAAUUGAUUAAGUGCUAGUCUAAUAUGUUGGAAUUCUAAUAUGUUGGAAUUCCUGCAUUUUAUAUUUAUGGAUUUUCAACUUGGCCUAUUUUACUUCCAGGUAUAGGAUUGAUGUUGAGGUCUGCGAUGGCAAUGAUUCAGCCAAGGAACUUCGCCUAUGACAAUCAUGCAACUCUUCUGGAACACGAUGAUAGAGUCAUGAUGGCUGCUUGUGAUGCAUUUUGUGCCGUUCUCAAAUAGCAAAUUCGAUGAAAGAGCUGCAGAGCGAUCAAUUGACUUCAUGAUUGGAUGGUUAGUAGCUCACAAGCUCUCAGCACAAUGGUUCAAGAAUUUUCUUAAGAGACCUUAGACUUUCUAAUAUUUAUAUGUAUGUAUCUUGUUACGAUAAGUAAUGUAACGAGAUUUAUAAAAGAAUCAUAUAUGAAGUAGUUACAUGUGAUUGUCUGCUUGGAAUUAGACUUGGAAUUAAUUAGUGAUAAUGUUAAGUAUUGACUUUUAAUGUGUUGAA